GUCUCAGCCUUGCCGCAGCCACUGCCCAGAGACUGCUGAGCCCCCAUCCGUCUGCUGCUACCCAUUCUGGGCACAGAACAUCCAAUCAUGGAUAAAAAUGAGCUGGCACAGAAGGCCAGACUGGCUGAGCAGGCUGACCGAAAUGAUAAUAUGGAAGCUUGCAUGAAGUAUGUAACUGAGCAAGGAGCUGCAUUAUCCAAUGAGGAGAGGAAUCUUCUCUCAGUUGCUUAUAAAAAUGUCGUAGGAACCCGUGUCAUAUUGGAGGAUCAUCUCAAGUACUGAGCAAAAGAUGGAAGGUGCUGAGAAAAAACAGCUGGUGGCUCGAGAAUACAGAGAGAAAAUUGAGACCGAGCUAAGAGAUAUCUGCAAUGAUGUACUGUCUCUUUUGGAAAAGUUCCUGAUCCCCAACGCUUCACAAGCAGAGAGCAAAGUCUUCUACUUGAAAAUGAAAGGAGACUACUACUGUGACUCGGCUGAGGUUGCUGCUGGUGAUGACAAGAAAGGGAUCAUGGAUCAGUCACAACAAGCAUAUCAAGAACCUUUUGAAAUCAGCAAAAAGGAAAUACAACCAAUGCACAUCCUAUCAGAUUGAGUCUGGCUCUUAACUUCUCUGUGUUCUAUCAUGAGAUUCUGAACUCCCCAGAGAAGCCCUGCUCUCUUGCAAAGACAGCUUUUGAUGAAGCCAUUGCUGAACUUGAUACAGUAAGUGAAGAGUCAUACAAAAGACAGCACACUAAUAUUGCAAUUACUGAGAGACAACUUAACAUUAUGGAUCUUAGAUACCCAAGUGGACAAAGCCAAAGCAGGAGAAGGAGGGGAAAAUUAACCAGCCUUCCAACUUUUGUCUCACUCAUUCUAAAAUUUACACAGUAGACCAUGUGUCAUCCAUGCCGUCCCACAAAUAGUUUUUUUGUUUAUGAUUUAUGACAGGUUUAUGUUACUUCUAUUUGAAUUUCUAUAUUUCCAAUGUGGUUUUCACAUUUAAUAUUAUGGUAGUAGAGCCAGUUAACAUUUAGGGAGUUCUCUGUUUUCACCUUGAGGUGGCCAAUAUGGGGAUGUGGAAUUUUUAUACAAGUUAAAAAUGUUUGGCAUAGUAUUUUUGGUACAUUGUGGCUUCACAAGGGCCAAUGUUAAAACUGCUUCCAUGUUCUAAGCAAAGAAAACUGCCUACAUAUUGGCUUGUCCUGGUGGGGAAUAAAAGGGAUAAUUGGUUCCAGUCACAG